rnacentral:rRNA from 1 species
UCCUGGCUCAGAACGAACGCUGGCGGCAUGCCUAACACAUGCAAGUCGAACGAGACUUCGGGUCUAGUGGCGCACGGGUGCGUAACGCGUGGGAAUCUGCCCUUGGGUGCGGAAUAACUUCUCGAAAGGGAUGCUAAUACCGCAUAAUGUCGUAAGACCAAAGAUUUAUCGCCCAAGGAUGAGCCCGCGUAAGAUUAGCUAGUUGGUGGGGUAAAAGCCUACCAAGGCGACGAUCUUUAGCUGGUCUGAGAGGAUGAUCAGCCACACUGGGACUGAGACACGGCCCAGACUCCUACGGGAGGCAGCAGUGGGGAAUAUUGGACAAUGGGCGAAAGCCUGAUCCAGCAAUGCCGCGUGAGUGAUGAAGGCCCUAGGGUUGUAAAGCUCUUUUACCCGGGAUGAUAAUGACAGUACCGGGAGAAUAAGCUCCGGCUAACUCCGUGCCAGCAGCCGCGGUAAUACGGAGGGAGCUAGCGUUGUUCGGAAUUACUGGGCGUAAAGCGCGCGUAGGCGGCUUUUUAAGUCAGAGGUGAAAGCCCGGGGCUCAACCCCGGAAUUGCCUUUGAAACUGGAAAGCUAGAAUCUUGGAGAGGUCAGUGGAAUUCCGAGUGUAGAGGUGAAAUUCGUAGAUAUUCGGAAGAACACCAGUGGCGAAGGCGACUGACUGGACAAGUAUUGACGCUUAGGUGCGAAAGCGUGGGGAGCAAACAGGAUUAGAUACCCUGGUAGUCCACGCCGUAAACGAUGAUAACUAGCUGUCCGGGUUCAUAGACUUGGGUGGCGCAGUUAACGGCAUUAAGUUAUCCGCCUGGGGAGUACGGUCGCAAGAUUAAAACUCAAAGGAAUUGACGGGGGCCUUGCACAGGUGGAGCAUGUGGUUUAAUUCGAAGCAACCCGCAGAACCUUACCAGCGUUUGACAUCCAUGAUCGCGGUUACCAGAGAUGGUUUCCUUCAGUUCGGCUGGAUCAGUGGCAGGUGCUGCAUGCUGUCGUCAAGCUCGUGUCGUGAGAUGUUGGGUUAAGUCCCGCAACGACGCAACCCUCAUCCCUAGUUGCCAUCAUUAAGUGGGCACUCUAAGGAAACUGCCGGUGAUAAGCCGGAGGAAGGUGGGGAUGACGUCAAGUCCUCAUGGCCCUUACGCGCUGGGCUACACACGUGCUACAAUGGCAACUACAGUGGGCAGCAACCUCGCGAGGGGUAGCUAAUCUCCAAAAGUUGUCUCAGUUCGGAUUGUUCUCUGCAACUCGAGAGCAUGAAGGCGGAAUCGCUAGUAAUCGCGGAUCAACAUGCCGCGGUGAAUACGUUCCCAAGGGCCCUUUGUACACACACCGCCCGUCACACCAUGGGAGUUGGUUUCACCCGAAAGCAGUGCUCUAACCCGCAAGGGAGGAAGUGACCACGGUGGGAUCAACGACUGGGGUGAAGUCGUAACAAGGUAGCCCGUAGGGGAACCUUCGGCUGGAUCACCUCCUU